rnacentral:tRNA from 1 species
GCCCCGCUGGCUCAGCGGACAAGAGCACCGGUUUACGAAGCCGGGGGUCGCACGUUCGAAUCGUGCGCGGGGCACCA